UACGUAGGUGACAAGCGUUGUCCGGAUUUACUGGGCGUAAAGAGCGCGCAGGCGGUCGUUCAAGUCGAGUGUGAAAGCCCCCGGCUCAACUGGGGAGGGUCAUUCGAUACUGAUCGACUCGAAGGCAGGAGAGGGUAGUGGAAUUCCCGGUGUAGUGGUGAAAUGCGCAGAUAUCAGGAGGAACACCAAUGGCGAAGGCAGCACUCUGGGACGUGACUGACGCUGAGACGCGAAAGCGUGGGGAGCAAACGGG
rnacentral:rRNA from 1 species